UCCAAGACUAUUUUGGGUUGAGCUAGACCGGGAUCAAACAAACAAGUUGAUUUCAUUGUUUUCAUCCUCACCGGUCAUUGCGGAUACUUCUCUCCCUAGCAAUACACAGAAUUGGAGCAGUCUAUUCAAAGCUUCAUCUGUGCAGGAAGGUGGCAGCAUUGAGAUGCUUGCAUUAGAAUGGGAUGCUCAUCCAGCCCAGGCCAGUGCAGAAUGGGAAUCCCGGCAUGCUCCUGAUCUGUGGGGAGGAGAAGCUCUCAUUGACAAGGAGGUGAAAGAAAAGGAUGAGGAAACAGGAGAUCAUGAUCGAUCUUACGCUUCUGUCUUGAGAGAUGUGAGGACUUCUUUUCCACAAAAAAGAAGGGUACUUGGGAUGGCAUCAGAAGCACAAAUGGUUUUAGAAAUGGAGUCCUCUGAACUUCAGUUUCUUGUGGCUGAGCAAGCAAAGAGGGAUUUUAAAUCAUUCCUGUUAAAAAACUAGAAACAGGCAGUUCUUUGCUGCAGAAUAUGAGAAUGUUAGUGUUGCUUUGCCGCUUUUCUCAUUCAACUACAGUGAUAGGAAGCUUCAUGCAAUCUUCGAGGCUGCAAGCUCAGGACAGAUGAAUAUUUAUCCAUGUGGAUGGACUUCAGGUGGUUCAUGUACCCACUAUGUGACACAGGUCAAGAUUCGAACUCCAAUGCAUUGCCAGCCCUUGCUGGAAGAUUAGUUCAAACCUGUAAUUGCUGAAAACUACUUUAAACCAAGACUAUUUUGGGUUGAACUAGACCGGGAUCAAACAAACAAGUUGAUUUCAUUGUUUUCAUCCUUGCCAAUCAUUGCGGAUCCUUCUCUCCCAGGCAAUACACAGAAGUGGAGCAGUCUAUUCAAAGCUUCAUCUGUGCGGGAAGGUGGUAGCAUUUAGAUGCCUGCAUUAAAAUGGGAUGCUCAUCCAGCCCAGACCAGUGCAGAAUGGGAAUCCUGGCAUGCUCCUGAUCUGUGGGGAGGAGAAUCUCUCAUUGACAAGGAAGUGACAAAAAAGGAUGAGGAAACAGGAGAUCAUGAUCGAUCUUACACUUCUGUCUUGAGAGAUGUGGCUGAGGAUAAAGUGGAGAUGGAUUGGUUAAAGAAAGAGACUUGUAUAAUAUGCAAUAGAGGUGGACGGGUGUUGGCUUGUACUGAAACUGGCUGCCCACUUGUUUUCCAUGAGAAUUGCACGCAUGGAAAACCUGAAUUUGAUGCCUUGGGACGUUUUUACUGCCCCGCUUGUUUUUACUGAAUUCCAUGAGAAAGGCUUUCCUUUCCCUUGAUUGUUGUGUCUUGAUUGCCAAUUGUUUGCAAGCUUUCUUCGCCAGAUUGGUCUUUUCCCUCAACUUCAGAGUUUCCACAACCGCUUGCAAACAAUUGGCAAUCAAGACACGACAAUCAAGGGAAAAGUCAAUGUUGGCAAGGAAAGCCUUUCUCAAUUUUAUAGACACAAUUAGUGAGAAUGGACAGAAGCAAAAAGAGGGGGAAGCUAAGAUGAAAGAGCACAAGGUAUCAAGGCGUAAGAGACUACGUUGGACAGCUGAAGAGGAAAAUAUAUUGAAGGAAGGAGUGCACAAAUUUUCACUUACAGCGAACAAAAAUCUUCUGUGGGGGAAGAUUUUGGAAUUUGGUCAGCACAUCUUCACUGAGGCUCGCACUCCAGUUGAUCUCAAGGACAAGUGGAAGAAUAUGUUGGCCAAACAGUACAACCAUUAAGUGCUUCUCUGAAGGCAUGGACAAGUAUGGCUUUCUCGCCUUCUCUACUGCUGUCGUUGCUUUUCCCGCAAGUCCUUUUUAACUAAAGCACUCCUGUUAUCAUUGUGGACUUCUUGUUGUUAUUGUUAGUAUCUUCAAUCAGUCCACAAAUAUAAAUUUUAACUCCCACUCUCGUAAUAGAAAUGAUUAACCUUAGUGCUUCCAAUCUAGUCAUGCACCAACGGAUGGUAUGUUUUGCUGCGUUUGCUACCCAUGGUUCUCCAUCUCCGUUGGCAACCUAGCUCCCUUAGAAACAAGCUUUAGGCUUCAAUGCAAGUUCUGUUCUUGUCUUGCUUUUAGGUUUUUCAGUAUUGCGACUUCGAUUUAUUUUGUUAUGCAAGGGGCACUAUAAUCUCGUAAAUUGAUCUCUGAAUUCACAUAAUACUUGUUACGGGAUAUAUAUAUAUAUAUAUGCACUUUUUACUAUCUGAGGUUGUACACUCGAUGAAAAUUGUCUUGUCAAACAAGGGAAGAGGGUAUCUCUCUCGCUCUCUUGUGGUUUGUUUUUGAUUUCCUGCUGAAUAGUGUCUACUUGUCAUUUUUAAUUUAUUAAAACCCGGAAAAACUUGCAAUUUGUGUGAUGAAUGAUUUGCUUUAAAACUUUGAAAUGUAAUUUUAUAAGGGUUGCUUGGACUUUUUGGAUUUAGAAGUACUUCAGAAGUUUACUGCAGCAAUCACCUUUUUAUUUACUUUCUGGACUUUUUGCAAACAUUCACAGAUGAAUAAAAGUCUCUAAGUAUGGUGUGCAUGCUAGUAGUUGGGGCUGAUUGGCUGAACUCUCUUGAUGGGAUGCCAUCUUAUUAACCCCAUGAUUCCAAACGCAAACUGAUUGAUAUUUUUUGCAAAUGAUAAGUUUUGAAUCCAAAGCCUCCAGCCACAUUAUUCAGUAGGUCAUUCCGUUGCAUCAGUUGGGUGUCAUCUGUAAGUGCAUCUUUAUAGUCCAGACACAAACACUCAUGUAACUCCCAUAUGUAGGACCUGAAAUUUGAAUUUUUCUUUGCCAAAUAUGUGGAUCAACUAUUACCAGCAAAAAAAAAAAAAAAGUUUAAGUAUUUGGUGUAAUUAUUUGGUGCAAGUAUUUGGUGUCAUCUUUUUGUGCAGUAUUAUAUGAAGCGAUUGUCCGUGGACAUUCCCAUGGCAUCAGGACCUGACCAGCGAUUAUUUUUGAUUGAGGAUGAAGAAGAGUACAAGGUAGGUGGUGGGCUAGUAUUUGAGCUAAGAGAUCAGGUAGUGAAAGCGAUGGCAGCAACCAAGGAGUUUGAUGAUCUUGACCAAAUUGAAGAAGAGGAGGACGCUGAAAGAGCCCUCCAGAAGGCAGAAAAGAAGCACCAUGACCAAAUAUCAUGGUGGUUUCUUCAUUGAUUUCUUCUAUUUUGUUCCUUGUAAUAUUUCAAGGCAAUAUGGAUAUAUGCAUAUGCCACUGCCACUCCUUUGUGGUAAGGCUUUCUACAUGUUGUGCAUUCGUGUAUGCACACAUUACCGUGAAAUAAUGUCCAAUUCGAGUCUAGUUUUAAGAUUCUUAGUAAUACUUUCAUCAGAACAAUUUCCCCCGAGUGUUGAGAACAGUAGUGUUUUAAAACAGCUUUUGCGUGUAACUGAAAAGCUAGCUAGUAAUUUGUAGCUGUAUGCGUAGGCAAUUUGGGUGCCAACAAAAACAAU